UACGGAGGGUGCAAGCGUUGUUCGGAAUCACUGGGCGUAAAGGGCGUGUAGGCGGUCCGCUACGUCUGAUGUGAAAGCCCGGGGCUCACCCCCGGAAGGGCAUUGGAAACUGGCGGACUCGAGUCCCGGAGAGGAAGGUGGAAUUCCUGGUGUAGCGGUGAAAUGCGUAGAUAUCAGGAGGAAUACCGGUGGCGAAGGCGGCCUUCUGGACGGUGACUGACGCUGAGACGCGAAAGCGUGGGGAGCAAACAGG
rnacentral:rRNA from 1 species